AAUUAAAGUAGUCAUUGAUCAGUAUUUUCAAAUUCAGCAAGUCUCUUACAUUACAGUUGACGUUAUUAGAAUAAAUUAGAUAAAAGUAAAAAAAGAUACAGAGAAAGACUUCGGACUCAUCUACUUGGGAAAGACUAGCCAGUUAUAGCCUUCAAUGAUUAUAGCUGCAUGUGUACCUCUUAUUUCAAUAUCCGGGGAUCAUUUUGGUAGCGAUGUUGACUGGAACGGAGGGUAUAAAACAUUGGAAAUCGUAUCGGUGGAAAAUUGUUGGGAUCCAAAAGAAAAAUUAAAUGGUGCAAAUAUACAAGCGAAAAAUUAAAUGAUGCAAAUAAUACAAGCGGUGUAAAUCAAAUGCUAGCGCU